UAUGCAAGCUCCUGGAAUGCCUGUGGUUUCUCCAGCACCUGGGUCCUGCUGGCAACCAGCAGCACCCAGUGGCCAGCAGCGUACUCUUUCACCUCUUCUUGGGUGACUUUGUGGAAUGCUCCAAUGUGACAUCUCCCUGUGAACGCCUUUCCUGACACCCUAAAAAGUGUCAGGAAUUUCCAGCAAGUUCCAGAGAGCAGGUUUCCAGCAAGUUUGGUCAGUAUGACACCACAGCGAUAUCUCUGCCAUUCACUGAACUUGGAUUCUUCCUUCUUCAGUGAGAGAUGUUCAAGAAAAAGAACAACUUCAGUGGAAGAAGAAGAAGAUAGGAGCCCAGGUCCUGUGUUUCACCAAGACAGCCGUGCAAAGCAGAUGCUGCCAAAAAGGUGCAAAGUGGUUUGUCAGCUCUUCUGCAUGUUCUAACAAAUUAGACAUGCAUCCCAAAAGGUUUCCUAGACUUUCCAUCACCACCAGUGAAUUCUGAGUGACAAUAGUGUGGAAUUUGGAAGAAUGGAAGAGAAACUGAAGUGGAGAGAUGGUGAAAGAGAAGAAAAAAUGAAGAAAGAUGCUUGCAAAAAUACUGCUGUGGGUCCUGAGAUGAGGAUUCUGGGAGGGCUGAAAUGGAUGCCCCUGACAGCUCCCUUUGAGUUCCUGUUCAUCUGAAGUACACCAGCUUUCUAGAUAUGCUGUCACUUUCCUUCUGCAGAGCCACAGUGGUGUCCUGUCUUCUCAGACCUCUUCUCACCUCAAAUCACUUAGGACUCGGCCACCAGACAGAUUUGGGAUUUCAGAACUUUUCAGAUGUUAGAAAGUUCUUUUCUAAAUGUGAUGAGGAAUUACGGAAUCAUAAAAUGGAAGCAGAGUUAAACUCAGACAUGUGGGCACUCAAGGCAAUUAGGAGCUUUCUGCGAUGAGAAAGGGAUCAGACUGAUCCUUAAGACUUUAUGCAACCCCAGAGUAUUGCAGCCACCUGCAUGCCGAAGGUGUCAAGAGUGUUCUCACUGCUGCCUAUAGGAGGGUCUUCAGCCUCCAGUGAUCCAAAGUACCAGGCUGACCUGUGACUGCUUCGGCCAACUGAAUAGGGAAGAGUGAUGCUGUGCUGUUUCCAGGCCUGUUCUUUAAAAGUACUUGGAAGCUUCUGCCUUGGCCUCUUUGUGCCUGAGUUGCUGUAUAAGAAUCUGACUACCUUGCUGGAGAGACCUUGUGGAGAAGACUUGACCUUAUAUGCAGAGGUAGAGGGGCCCUGGUUAGUCCAGCCAUCUAGCCAUCCUGUCAAAAUAGCAGAUCCAUUUCCUGCCCUUCUUUUAUUCUACUCUGUAUUACAGCCAACCACAUUUCCAGGCUCCCUUGUCCUCUGCUAUCUAGGAGUAUGAUGGCCAAUGGAUCCAAAACCUAUCCUAUAUCUACAUGUUGGUGGCCACAUUAAUCUGACAUCUGACAGCAAGAGCGAUGAUUGGGUUCACUGGAAAUCUUUGUGAAGUACGAGUGAAGUCCUUGUGAAGUCAGAGUUUCCUCUUCAUGCCUCUACUCCUAUGCAGUUUGACCUCUCAGUGUGCAGCUGGUGAUAGAUGGAAACCCUUGUUCAUAAGCUUUGUGGCACUGUCGGCAGGAUGAGGGGACUUCUGGAUCCUCACUGGUCACUGUGGCAGAGUGGUUGGUGUUGUCUGCUCCCUAGACAGGAACCCACUGAAGAAUCUGACAUUUUUUGAUAUGCUGGCAUUCAUUGUUACAGCCCAUCAUCCCAGCCAUCAAUCCAGGACAUGGGGUCUGUGCCCACGGUGGGAAGGAGGAGGGGGAAGCUGGCUUUGUUCUGACGUUGGGCUUCUUCUGCUCCACCAGUACUUUCUGUGGGGGAAAUAGGUAAAGAAAUGGCUGUUCAGAUGAGAAGAUGUGUCAGUAAACUUUUGCUACAGUGAUGCUGCAAAACAAAUCACUGGUGACUUUCAGUGGCACACAGCAAUAAACAUUUAUUUAGCUCAGGGAUUGACAAUCUUUUUUUUUUUUUAAAGGGCCAAAUAGUAAAUAUUUUAGGUGUUUCAGGCCAUACAGUCUCUGAACUCUGAACUUGUAGCACAACAGUAGCCUUAGAUGCUAUGCAAAUGGAGGAGCAUGACUGUGUUCCAAUAAAACUUUAUUUAUGGACACUAAA
rnacentral:lncRNA from 1 species